rnacentral:rRNA from 1 species
CUCAAAGGAAUUUGACGGGGGCCCGCACAAGGGCGGUGGAGCAUGUGGUUUAAUUCGAAGCCUACGCGAAGAACCUUACCAGGUCUUGAACAUACUAUGCAAAAUCUAAGAGAUUAGACGUUCCCUUCGGGGACAUGGAUUACAGGUGGUGCAUGGUUGUCGUCAGCUCGUGUCGUGAGAUGUUGGGGUUAAGUCCCGCCAACGAGCGCAACCCU